rnacentral:rRNA from 1 species
GUACACUCCUGCGGGAGGCAGCAGUAGGGAAUCUUCCACAAUGGGUGCAAACCUGAUGGAGCAAUGCCGCGUGAGUGAAGAAGGUCUUCGGAUCGUAAAGCUCUGUUGUUAGAGAAGAACACGUGCUAGGUAACUACUAGCGCCUUGACGGUAUCUAACCAGAAAGUCACGGCUAACUACGUGCCAGCAGCCGCGGUAAUACGUAGGUGACAAGCGUUGUCCGGAUUUAUUGGGCGUAAAGGGAGCGCAGGCGGUCUGUUUAGUCUAAUGUGAAAGCCCACGGCUUAACCGUGGAACGGCAUUGGAAACUGACAGACUUGAAUGUAGAAGAGGAAAAUGGAAUUCCAAGUGUAGCGGUGGAAUGCGUAGAUAUUUGGAGGAACACCAGUGGCGAAGGCGAUUUUCUGGUCUAACAUUGACGCUGAGGCUCGAAAGCGUGGGGAGCGAACAGGAUUAGAUACCCGGGUAGUCCCAUGAU